GACAAACGCUGGCGGCAUGCCUAACACAUGCAAGUCGAACGGACAGAACAGGGAAGCUUUUCGUAGUGGAACUGGAAAGUUAGUGGCGGAUGGGUGAGUGACGCGUGGACAACCUACCUUGUAAACGGGAAUAACCUCCAGAAAUCGAAGCUAAUACCCUAUAAUAACCUUGCUUCGCAUGAAGUAAGGAGGAUGGGCGGCCUUAGCGCUGUUGUUACCUGAUGGGUCCGCGACUGAUUAGCUAGUUGGUGAGGUAAAGGCUCACCUAGGCGACGAUCAGGAGCCGGAGGGAGAGGGGGAACGGCGACAUUGGAACGGGGACAGGGACCAAAGUCCUAAGAGAGGCAGCAGUGGGGAAUGGUCCGCAAUAGGGGAAAGCAUGACGGAACAAGGCCACGUGAGUGGAAAAGGCGUUCGGGUUGUAGAAAUCGGUCCUGAGCGAAGAGAGGGUGUUGUAGGAAAUGAAAAUACUAGGACGGUAAAUGAGAAGGAAGCCCCGGCUAACUAUGUG
rnacentral:rRNA from 1 species